rnacentral:rRNA from 1 species
UACGUAGGGGGCAAGCGUUGUCCGGAAUCAUUGGGCGUAAAGAGCGUGUAGGCGGCUCGAUAAGUCUGCUGUGAAAGUCCAGGGCUCAACCCUGGAAGGCCGGUGGAAACUGUCGGGCUAGAGUCCGGAAGAGGCGAGUGGAAUUCCCGGUGUAGCGGUGAAAUGCGCAGAUAUCGGGAGGAACACCAAUGGCGAAGGCAGCUCGCUGGGACGGUACUGACGCUGAGACGCGAAAGCUAGGGUAGCAAACGGG